rnacentral:lncRNA from 1 species
AAAUGCCAUAAGACUGGAAUGAGACCAGGCUCACUUAUGACUUGCCCUUGCAUUCAAAUCAACCUGUACACUCAUGAUUCAUGAAGAUGUAUAAAUUGAGGAUGGUGCUCUCUCUUUCCUUCUUCUUCCUUUCUCAGGUAAAAAUCUCUGCUUUUUCAAAUUUUUUUUGAAGAAAUUUGAGUGUUAAUCUUGUUUCUGCAUGUCUUUUUACUGGAAAAUUUUGUGUUUUUCUUCAAUUUGUUUAUAGAAAAAAGUUUGAAAUUUGAAAAAGUUUCAAUCUUUAUGAAAUGGAGAUAUCAACUUGUACUAAUUUCACCAAAUGUGUUGAAUUGGAUUGGGUUUUAAAUAUUUUAGGAUAAAAAUCAUAUUUUGAGAAGUUUGACGGUUGAUUAACCAUUGUACUUGUGGUUUUAAGUAUGAUGAUCACCAUGAAUCACUGUUUACAGAUUAAUUGAUUGGAAACAUAGUUUAAUUGGGUGUUAGUUAUAUUGGGGUUUCUAUCUAUGUAUAUCUUGUGUUUAUGGAUUUUUUUUUUUUUUUUUCUUAAUGCUUGCAAUCGGUUCGAUGAAAUGCUUAAGCCAUUAUUUUGCCUUAACAUAGCUAAUUGUCACAUUUUAAUAUUAGCACUACCUCGUUGAGACCAUUUGGUUGACUUUAUUAAGAGUAACUGAGUAAGUAGUUAGAGUAGUAAUACCAUCUCUGUCCGUCUCAAUUUUUAUCCAUUAUAUACACAACUCUCUGAAUCCCUUGUGCUCUUUCAUUAGGUUAGCAUGCAUACUUGAUAAGCAAGACGUUUAGCUAGAACCUAAUGAAUCUCUGUCAGUCUCAAUUAUUUUAUUUUAUAACCGACAUUAGGUGUCUGAAUGUGUAAUAUUAUUUUAUUUUAUAACCGACAUUAGGUGUCUGAAUGUGUAAUUGGUAAGCAAGAACCUAAUGCAUGUCGAAGUAACUGUCAAUCCAAUUUACAUGCCCAUUGCUCCUUUAAAAUUGAUUACUAUGCAUUAGCUGCCAGUUAAAAAUUAUGGACCUAUUUUUUUUAAUUGGGAAUUCAAUGAGUUAUAAUUGGGGACUAGAGCAUAGCAUUUUGGGUUUUAAAUAUUUAUGAACAAGUUAGUAAUGCUAUUUUUUAAUCUUAUUGGUGAAUGAAAGCGUGUGAGGUAAGUUAGUUAUUUGGGGUGGGGAACAAGCUCAAAUUCAGUAGUUGCUUGUAAUGGGACCUGAUAUGCUUCUACAUGUGAACUAGACUCCAUCGAGUGUGCCUAUGAUAGGAUCCUGCUGCUUAGGAAAGGACUCUAAGAGACUGACUGGCAGUAAACACUCCCUGUUCUUCUAUGAACAAAGUCAUAUAACCAAGUGUCUAAAGUACAUAGAUUUUCUUAGGCCCAAAGACAAAAAUGAAAAGGAGGUUCUAAUUUGAAGCCCAAUUUCUUAAGAGCCUGCUUGUUUGAGAAAAGGUAUAUAACGCUGGUCCCCAACGUGUCACGUUUCUACAUUCUAUACCAUUAUUUGUGUCAAAUAUUGUUAGAAGCUGAAGCAAUUCUAUUAUGUUGAUAUGUUACUAGUACUACACACUAUUGUUGCGAAACCCUACCUUUAAUGUGUUUUACUCAAUUACUCUUCUUUUCUAUAUAGGAUUAGUUUCAUGGCGGAUAAUGAUGGGAGUGGUUCUACAUGAAGAAGAUCCAGAGGAAAAAGGUCAAGGGUAGUGUACAAAUUACCUAGAUGGCUAGUUCAAAUGUUCAAUGAGGGGUCAGAGUCCUUAUGUUAUCAACUUGUACAUUUAGUUAUAUCAAAAUUCCGUUUCCUCUUAACUGAUGUUAUCA